rnacentral:rRNA from 1 species
GUAAUGUCUGGGAAACUGCCUGAUGGAGGGGGAUAACUACUGGAAACGGUGGCUAAUACCGCAUAACGUCGCAAGACCAAAGAGGGGGACCUUCGGGCCUCUUGCCAUCAGAUGUGCCCAGAUGGGAUUAGCUAGUUGGUGAGGUAACGGCUCACCAAGGCGACGAUCCCUAGCUGGUCUGAGAGGAUGACCAGCCACACUGGAACUGAGACACGGUCCAGACUCCUACGGGAGGCAGCAGUGGGGAAUAUUGCACAAUGGGCGCAAGCCUGAUGCAGCCAUGCCGCGUGUAUGAAGAAGGCCUUCGGGUUGUAAAGUACUUUCAGCGGGGAGGAAGGUGUUGUGGUUAAUAACCGCAGCAAUUGACGUUACCCGCAGAAGAAGCACCGGCUAACUCCGUGCCAGCAGCCGCGGUAAUACGGAGGGUGCAAGCGUUAAUCGGAAUUACUGGGCGUAAAGCGCACGCAGGCGGUCUGUCAAGUCGGAUGUGAAAUCCCCGGGCUCAACCUGGGAACUGCAUUCGAAACUGGCAGGCUUGAGUCUUGUAGAGGGGGGUAGAAUUCCAGGUGUAGCGGUGAAAUGCGUAGAGAUCUGGAGGAAUACCGGUGGCGAAGGCGGCCCCCUGGACAAAGACUGACGCUCAGGUGCGAAAGCGUGGGGAGCAAACAGGAUUAGAUACCCUGGUAGUCCACGCCGUAAACGAUGUCUACUUGGAGGUUGUGCCCUUGAGGCGUGGCUUCCGGAGCUAACGCGUUAAGUAGACCGCCUGGGGAGUACGGCCGCAAGGUUAAAACUCAAAUGAAUUGACGGGGGCCCGCACAAGCGGUGGAGCAUGUGGUUUAAUUCGAUGCAACGCGAAGAACCUUACCUGGUCUUGACAUCCACGGAAGUUUUCAGAGAUGAGAAUGUGCCUUCGGGAACCGUGAGACAGGUGCUGCAUGGCUGUCGUCAGCUCGUGUUGUGAAAUGUUGGGUUAAGUCCCGCAACGAGCGCAACCCUUAUCCUUUGUUGCCAGCGAUUAGG